rnacentral:lncRNA from 1 species
UCCAGGUUAGAACUGGCAACUCUAAUUUACUCAGAUGCCUUUCUGCAGGAGAUUCAAAUAUUUGCUAAUGCUUACUGAUACCUUCACUGGUUAGAUCGAGGCAUUCGCCACCCAUCUGAAAAAUGUUUACCAGAAGAAAUAAUUCCUCAGUUUGGGUAAUCUAAAAGCCUGCAAAGUGGCAAUGGCCCAUCUUUCACAGUAGGCAUAUCCCAAUACCUAUCCUCAGCUUUAAGAAUCCAAUAUUACUUUCACUCUGCCUGGAGACUGCAGUCCUCUGGAAAGGUGAAAGGGCUAAUCCUACUGUAAAGAAGACUAGCUAAAUCAAAGGCCUGACUAUCUCUGACCCCCAUAGCUUACUGAGGGUUUGAACUGCUCCAAAGUUAAACUUAUAAUUAAGUCCUGUUGAGUUAACAUAUGGAAGGCCUUUCCUAACCACAGAUCUCCUAAUAGAUGAAAAGACUCAUCAAUUACAAAAAUAUGUCACCAAUCUAGGACAGGUGCAAAGGCACUCUGUGAAUAUGGAAACAAGAGUCUUCCCCUCCCCCAUGGGAGGAACAUUCAGUUUCAGCUCAGCUAGGGAUUUAGUCCUACUAAAGACAUGGGAGGAAGUUCUCCAGCUGACCAGCUUUCCCCAACGUGGAAAGGACAACAGCAAGGCCACCUGAGCUCUCCAACAGACGUUCAACUCCAAGGGAUUCAGAGUUCUGGGAGGUGAACUCUGAUGAACAUGCCAUCGACUCCGCAGGCACCUACCACGGGAUCAGUGACCUGCAGCUGGAGCGUAUCAACGUGUACUACAAUGAGGCCAGCGGUGGCAGGUACGUGCCCCGCACUGUGUUCAUGGAUCUGGAGCCAGGCACUAUGGACUCUGUGCGCUCGGGGCCCUUGGGGCAGAUCUUCA